rnacentral:rRNA from 1 species
UACGAGGGGGGCAAGCGUUGUUCGGAAUUAUUGGGCGUAAAGGGUGCGUAGGCGGUUUGGUAAGUCUUAUGUGAAAUCUACAGGCUCAACUUGUAGUCUGCAUGAGAAACUGCCGGGCUUGAGUAUGGGAGAGGUGAGUGGAAUUCCUGGUGUAGCGGUGAAAUUCGUAGAUAUUAGGAAGAACACCGGUGGCGAAGGCGGCCCACUGGCUCGAUACUGACGCUGAGGUGCGAAAGCGUGGGGAUCAAACAGG